CGAACCGUGCGAAUGUUGUUCGGAAUCACUGGGCUUAAAGGGCGCGUAGGCGGGCUGUCAAGUCUGGGGGGAAAUGCCGCGGCUCAACCGUGGAACUGCCUUAGAUACUGACGGCCUCGAGGAAGGUAGGGGCAUGCGGAACUGUAGGUGGAGCGGUGAAAUGCGUUGAUAUCUACAGGAACUCCGGUGGCGAAAGCGGCGUGCUGGACCUUUUCUGACGCUGAGGCGCGAAAGCUAGGGGAGCAAACGGG
rnacentral:rRNA from 1 species